GUGGGGAAUUUUUCGCAAUGGGGGAAACCCUGACGAAGCAACGCCGCGUGGAGGAUGAAGGCCUUCGGGUCGUAAACUCCUGUCGACCGGGAAGAAUGCACUCGACCUAAUACGUCGCGGUGUUGACUGUACCGGUGGAGGAAGCCACGGCUAACUCUGUGCCAGCAGCCGCGGUAAUACAGAGGUGGCAAGCGUUGUUCGGAAUUACUGGGCGUAAAGGGCGCGUAGGCGGCCCGCCAAGUCCCGUGUGAAAGCCCUCGGCUCAACCGAGGAACGGCGCGGGAAACUAGCAGGCUUGAGUUCGGGAGAGGGAAGCGGAAUUCCGGGUGUAGCGGUGAAAUGCGCAGAUAUCCGGAGGAACACCGGUGGCGAAGGCGGCUUCCUGGACCGACACUGACGCUGAGGCGCGAAAGCUAGGGGAGCAAACGGGAUUAGAAACCCCAGUAGUCC
rnacentral:rRNA from 1 species